rnacentral:lncRNA from 1 species
CGCCAGUUCGUUGCUACUCUGAGCUCCUGCAUCCUUCUUGAGUAUGUCCACGUAUAUUAGUGUAGGACAUCCUCUUGACCGAUGCCCAUGUGUUGGUUCCCACAGCACCAAUUUGCUGGCUGUCAGUUUCCAGUGCCUUUGGCAGUGCCCUGCUAGUCUCAUUCUCCUUACAGCAAUCUUCUCGCUCACCCUUGGUAUUCCCUCGUACAGUGCUCUGUUGGUUACAUGUGCGUUCUUGUUGAUGUUUAGCACAGCACGCAACAUCCUGGUGUAGCACCCAUCUAGGGAUUUCUCCAGGGUUGGCUUCAGUGUCCAGCAUUCACUGCCAUAGAGGAGAACGGACUCUACUGUCGCGUAGAAGAAGCUGAGUUUGAUUUGGCGGGGGAGGUUGGAGUUCCAUACACUGGUCAUGCCGUUCAGGGCUCUCCAUGCAAGUGCCUUCCUCACUUUUAGAUCUUGUUCAGUUGAGUUGACCCAUGAGCCCAGGUAUUUGAAGUCCUCAACUUCUUUCAGCACAGUGCUUCCUGCUGUCGUCAGAGGUUGAUGUUCUGGUGGAACGUUGUAGGUGAUGACCUCAGUUUUCUUGGCAUUUAGCUUAAGGCCAACCUUGGUGCACUCUAGCUCUACCCUGUUCAGCAGUUCUUGUGUUUGUUCCACGUUGUCGGAGAGCAGACUUAUGUCAUCCGUGUAGUCGAGGUCUGUGAGGACCACUGCAGGGUGUCGUCUCGACCUCCUUGGUGUUAGCGUGAAGCCAAGUUCCUGCUCUCGCCCAAUGAUUGCCUUCCUGAGCGCAUAAUCAAGGACUAUGAUGAAGAGGAAAGGGGCUAGUGUGUAUAUUUUUGUAAAGAUUAAUGGUGAAAUUUACCUGGGUUCUAAUCCUCCUGUUUUCUUUUUUUUUUUUUCCAGUGUCUCCCUCCGUGCCACACACCAGGGGCCUCAUGUAUCAACACUUGCGUGGAACUCAUACCAGAAACGAGCGCACGCAAGGUCCGUCACGCUGAAAAAAAUCCGUAUGUAUCAAUGUGUGCGGGCGCCGAAAUCCACGUGUGUUUCCUUGAUAAAUCCCAAUCAGCGUGGAAUUGAGCGCAGAUGUCGGAGUGACUGGGCCCGUCCCCGUUACGCCCUCCUAUAAAUAUGCAAAUUUAUUUAAAUAGGGUCUCCCUGUCCUCGCACGCAGACAAAAUGACAAGAAAAACUACAUUUACGGCGUGCGAGGUGGAGGUGCUGGUGGCGGAGGUGGAGGAGCGACAGCGUGUUUUGUUUGGCAGCCUGUCCAGUGGCGUCAGUGCAAAACAAAAACGCUUGGAGUGGGAGAAAGUUUGCGAGAGGGUGAAUGCGGUGGGUUCCGAGACACGCACCCCCGCGGAGAUUAAAAAAAAGUGGUCGGACCUCAAGGUGGAGGUCAAGCGGCGUACAGCUGCCCUCCGGAAGAGUACCGGCCAGACAGGUGGGGGUCCGGGGAGGAGACCCUCACACCGUUUGAGCAGCGGGUGGUGGCGAUUAUUAUUAUAGGGUAAGUGGCGUGUCACACAAAUGUCCACAUGCUUUGUCAUCCCACUGAGCAAAAGACGUAUAUUAGACGUCUAGUCUAAGUUUAUACUUCAUUUCAACGUCGGGAUUCAGUCUAUUUUUAGACGUGAUUUAUACUUCGCCCUUAACUUCAUUUUUCGAUAACUUUUUAUGCAAUAAACAACUGUAAUGUGCAUAACUGACCUCGAAAUACUGGAUUACAUUACCUAUGAUACCGUGGAGAGAGAUGUAAACGCAACAGAUACACAGAAGCAGGAAUUGAAAUGAACCAAUAUUUUUAUUGUGUCACAGAAAUCAAUGUGUCAGCCGUGUCGCCGGCUUGCGGAACCCUGGCCCGCGGCAGCCCGUCCGCCGGCUCGGAGUCGUCGGCCAGGACCAGCGGCAUUCGGGCCACCCCGGCCCCCGGCCCCAGCACCAGCAUCAGCACCAGCGCGCCGACAAGCGGUGGAGCGUCCACCAGCCGCGGCGCUUCCGCUGGACCACCCGGACGCAGUGGAAGGGUCCUCGCGGAGGGGGUCCUGCAAUCGCAGGAAGAAAUCAUCAGGGGGAUCGCGGGGAUCAACGAGCAGCUGGACCGGCUCGUAAAUUUCCUCGAGCGUCUGGUGGAGAAAAUAAAUUAAUUUGGCUCAUUGAACUGUGUAUUCACUUCUUACCCAUUCACACUGUGGCGAUGAGAUUCUCCCGCGCGAGGACGGCGGCCCGGCAGGGAUCAGCUCGCAUCCCUCCGUCUGCUGCUGGUUCGUCAUGUGGGGCGACGUGCUGCCCGGCCACGGGGAUGUGGUGCACGCUUGUCACAUAGUGAGUCACCAAACACCGCCACACAGCGUCGCCAAAGUGCGAAUCACAGUCAACGCAAAUAUCCAGCUCAACGCCAAUUUCUACACCACCUCCUGACUUUGCGUUGAUUAGCGCUGGAACCGACGCUCGUUUCGCGAUGAUAAAUCUGGACGUGUGCGCCGAUUUUGGCGUACGCAAGGUUUUCUUGCGCCGCAAGCGUUGAUACAUGAGGCCCCAGCUCUUUUAGAACAGCACCCUCUCUCGCUCUUUUAGUUUAUUCUGGACUCCAGACUACCUUUGUUUCUGCACAUUCUCCCACAAUAAAACCUGUGAAAACCUUCUUCCUGUCUGGCUGCUUUUGGGUUCAGAACCCCAACCCGUCACAUGGUCUGUUUAAAUGUCAACUGCUGUACUGAUAACAGAUUGUGUUUUAAGCUAAGGGUGACAUCCACAAGUCCCAAAUUACAUCUGACAAGGGUGCUGGACUGAAUUUGGUGGGUUCUGCCUGCAUUAGUGACAGAUCAUUUGAUGGAUUAACCUUUUAGAAAGCUGCAGACCUCAAGGGGUAUUAGCAGAGUCAUGACCAAAAACAAGAGAUUUGUGACCGGCAUACGACAAUGUGCGAAUGACGCAGCACUCCAAGUCUAUUGUGUUUAAGUGAGUCAACUUUUUCACCCUAAUAGCUCUGACACUGAGCUAGCAUGAAAUGUGAGAGGUGGUCUGUCAAAACAGACAUAAUGUGGUGUAACUAGUGGAGGGGGUCACUCCAGGAUACAGACCUGGUUUUGUAACAGAGACAUUUUCCAGGAAGAAAAAGUCCAAUUCAGACCACCCUAGAGCUGCAUGUGUGAUAUUAAAAGGAUAUUAGAAUUGAUAAUUUCUGCUAUUUUAGGCCUCAGAUAGGAGUCCUAAAGCAUGAAAACAAGAGUCCAAAUCUGUUCAUAGAGAGAUUUUCAAACAUGAAAUUUUACCCUAAGACCCAUGCUGAUAUGACCUGAUAUCAAGUUUAACAGAGAAGUGUUUUUACUUAGGGUGGUAACACACAAAGACAUUGACAACAAAAACUUGUAUGUGCAAAAAAUAUCGGGGCUGGGUAUUGGCAAGGACAUCACAAUUAAUAGAAGGAAUUAUUCUUAUUGUUAAUCAUGAGUUUACUGUGAGGCGCUAGUUGCCUAAAAAUAAAGGAAAACCACACAAGUAGGGUCUCGAUGAAGUGGAAGAGAAUCUGAUCCACAUGCAACAUAGUGCUUGUGUUCAGCACAAUACCGAGCUGUACUGCAAACCACUCAAGCACAGUGAGCUUUCACUCAACGUACCUCCCAUAGGGUUAGAGCUCUGCACAGUACAAGGUUGUCUCAGCUGUUAACCUCCUCCUCUUUCCUCUCUCUCCUCCUCUUUUUCCCAUGCUCUAUUGUGUCUAGGCUGACAACUGCCCCAACAGGCCUGUGGGUGGGAGGCUCAGCAGGCGAGUAUCUGAGCGUACAUCCUCUGACACUCAAGUCAAAUGUCUUGUGUUUGGAAUCUGCUGCCGGCUCCCCAGAGAGCCAGCCUGCCCCAAACACAUCUUGCAUAAAAUAGCCAAACUGAACUGGGGUAAGGAUGACAGAUGGAGGGACAGAGGAGAGAUGGUGGAGACAUGAGGAAAAUGAGUCAAAAUUUCUUCUUUCUGUCAAAAUAAUAAAUAAAACACACACUUAAAGCUAAUAUGCAAGGCGGUCUGAUAACCUCAGAUGAGAAAUCACUUUAAAUGUGGGUCUUUUUAUUCCACCAGAAAGGGCUGAAAAUCUCCUGAGCCCUUAAAUCUCUGGAUUACUCCCAUCGUUCUAAUUUAGACGUAGCCUCAAGCAAAGAGCAGGCUAAUUUCCUUGUGUCAAAAUUAAUGAAGAAGAUAAUUUGCUACAACGGAGGAAAAAGCACAUGCAUUGCAUGAGCACAUGCCCAAUUCACACAAGCAGGAACUCUCAGACUAUCCUUUAAAUGAACCCCAAAUGGGGCCAGAGAGUGAAGAGAGCUUCCUGCAGCUGAAACAGAAACUAGGUUAGUGCAUCAGCAGUGAAACAUGUGGGAUUUGACACUCCUCUACAAAAAGGUCUUGGAUCUCAGCGUGCAAAAAGCAGCUGUAAUCAGUUCAUGAGAAAUUCUGCAAACGGCAGCUUAGACUUUUAUUUUACCACUUGAAACCUAAUGUUCCCCUUAUUUCUGUCAAAUUUACCCCUAAGUGGUUUCAAAGUAAGAUGAAACACACUGUUCUGCAACACUGAAGUUUCAUUUAGACUAUAUCACGCCAACGCAGGGGGAACUGGGAUAGAAAAUAAAAACCUCAGAACAUAUGAAUAUGAAAACCUGUGUUUGAAAUUGGAGGAGAAUGGAUUGAUGCAUUAUUCCUUUGCCUGACAGUAGUUAGUAAUAGUGAAACUGAGAAUGGCUCGGUGGUAUUUAAGACUAAAAUUACCAAUAAAAUUAAAAAGUCAUGAUGCUGAGGGGAUGUUUGUUUCGCAUGGUAGAUUAAUCUAAAACUAUUCAAUUAUGUCUUCUUUCUUAUUUUAUCAUCUAAAAGUGGGCUUGGUCCUGUACACUGUGUGACCAAUGCACUGGUUUAAAGCGCAGAGCUGGGUGUGCUACCAGAGCGUGCUACCAGACACAGUGUUAUAGACCAGGCUUGCAGCGCCACCUCUCGACAGCUUUGCUGCUUGAUAAGGUUAGACCUGAUCAGACCUGGUUUUUGUUGGCCCAAGGCACAGCCCUGUCCUCUCCAACCACAUCCUCAUAAAGUUAAUUUGUUAUUGACAGAGCUUGGGUACUGGUCAUGAAAAUGAUGACUACGUCAAUGACACCUCCACAGUUUAAAAGCUGCUGAAACACUUUGUGUCUGUUGCGCAAUAGGGGCCUCUGUUUUAGCAUCAUCCACAGUAAUAGCUAACACUUUAGUUCUCACAAAAUAAACUGACUUUGUUUUUGUUUACGGCACUCAAUUUUACAUCAACUGCAUGAACCAGAGUCGCAGCAAAGUCUGUUCUUUGGCCUUGUUAGUGUCAUUGUCCACAAAUCCUUUUUUGAAAUCAGUGUUUUGACAGUGUUCUGUGAAGUGUUCCUCACUGUCCGUCAUGGGAAAAGGCGAUCCCUCGGUGACAGAGCCUUCAGUGUGGCUGCCCCUCCUCUCUGGAACUCUCUCCCCUCUGAGAUUCGCCAAGCACAGACUCUUGACUCUUUCAAGUCUGCUCUGAAGCGACACUUGUUUAUCCAGGCUUUUGGUAUCUAGUUAUUUUUAUCGUAGUGUGUUGUUAAGCGCUUUGGGUAUCUUGAAAGUCGCUAUACAAAUGCAAAAAAUGAUUAUUAUUAUUAUUAUUAAGUGUUUACUUUAUACACGAGUAAACCAAUAUACAAAGACCAAUAUACAAAAUACACAGAUUUGGUAUGUUUGCCUUUCAUAGCCAGUUUUUGUCUUUAAAUUCUGGAUUUUCUCUGCUUUUGCUGUCAUAGGAAGACAUCUGCUAAUAAAAUACUGAAAUGACAUUUCCUCCCAAUAUUUCCCUAUAUCCUUGGGCUUGAGUAAUCUCUAUUUUGCCAGCCUUAUUCCUCCCCAUCCAUACCUCCUAUUCAUAACUACAAAAGAAAUUGAGUAGAGAGAAAUGAAAUGCUUCAUUUAGGUUGAUCAGAUCUGUCCAUUUCUUUCAAACGGCAGGGCAAACUACUUUCUUUGUAUGUGCUCACUCUAAGAUUUUGCUGCAGGCUUACAAGACAUGAAUAUCUCCUUCACAGUUCCCAUGCAUCAGAUUGAAAGAAAAGUGGAGCACUCACAUCCAAGACCAACCUUUCUGGAGGCUAAUAAAAGAAAAGACAUUCAUCUGGGAAUGUAUUCACAUUGUAAAUGGGGAGUAAUGAGGUGGGAAACGAAGACCAUGGAUGGAUGAACUUUGUGUCGAGAGGCUGGGUAUCAGUACCAGGGAACAGGUUGGAGCGGAAGGAAGGAUACGGGUGAGUAUGAUGGUUGAUGGAUAGAUGUAGAAAGUGAGGCGUGGAGGGGGAGCAGAGGGGCUCUAUCUGCCUGCUGCCUCUCCCUAUAGGAACAGCUGUCUCCCAGACUGCAACAGAUGUAGAUUCACAGAGGGGAAAGACAUGAUCUGACAACUCCCCUGGACUUUCCUGCAC